AACGCACAUUGCGCCCGCUGGUAUUCCAGCGGGCAUGCCCGUUCGAGCGUCAUUUUAAUCCCUUCCCAGGAGACUCUUCUAUUUCUGUAGUGGAGUGUCUGCGGGGCGUUGGCAUUGGGCCGCCUUAUUUUUAGGCGGCCCGAGCCGAAAUGAAGCGGCGGACUCGCGGCGGCCCCUAGCGCAGUAGAAUAACCCUUCUCGCUUAGGAGAGCUGUAGCGGUGGACCAUAGCCCUUACAUGCUUUUUUCAAAAGCUACAUUAAAAAAAAAAAAAAACUUGACCUCGGAUCGGGUAGGACUACCCGCUGAACUUAA
rnacentral:misc_RNA from 1 species